CCUACGGGUGGCAGCAGUGGGGAAUAUUGCACAAUGGGGGAAACCCUGAUGCAGCGACGCCGCGUGAGUGAAGAAGUAUUUCGGUAUGUAAAGCUCUAUCAGCAGGGAAGAAAAUGACUGUACCUGAUUAAGAAGCCCCGGCUAACUACGUGCCAGCAGCCGCGGUAAUACGUAGGGGGCAAGCGUUAUCCGGAUGUACUGGGUGUAAAGGGAGCGUAGACGGCAGUGCAAGUCUGGAGUGAAAGGCGGGGGCUCAACCCCCGAACUGCUCUGGAAACUGUACAGCUAGAGUGCAGGAGAGGUAAGUGGAAUUCCUAGUGUAGCGGUGAAAUGCGUAGAUAUUAGGAGGAACACCAGUGGCGAAGGCGGCUUACUGGACUGUAACUGACGUUGAGGCGCGAAAGCGUGGGGAGCAAACAGGAUUAGAUACCCUUGUAGUC
rnacentral:rRNA from 1 species